CUCGCUGCUGCAACGAAACGGCCAUUAAGUUGCUCAACAGAAUCUCUAUCUUCUUCUUCUUCUUCUUCUUCUUCAAUAUCAUAUUGGGUAAUAAUACGAAUCUCUACGUUCAUGACCCAUUUCUUCUUAAUCCUGGAAAUCUCUGCCAAAAUAUCCAUAGCGUUGCAUAUUAUCUUGGAGAUGACAAAGCUUCUGAGCUUGGGAUGUAUGUCUAUGGAACAUGGCAACAAGGUUGAGAUUAUUUCAGAAACAUCAUCGCCGAGAAAUUGUUCUUCAGUGAGCUCUACAGAGUUACCCCUGAUUUGAGUUCGGAUUUCGAGUUGUGUGCCCCAUACUUGGCGGUGUGUGGAGCUUGGAAGAAUUCUGAUGUGGAGAACUCGUGGACAAUUCUCUUCAAGAUCCAACUUUUUGUAUCUUAUGUUUACUUGCAGUUUUGCUGUGGAAGCCAUGAUUAUGAUGAUAGUUUAGCUAGUGUUUUGAUCGAACAAAAAAAUAUAGAAUUUGUUGGACUGUUAUGGUAUAUAGAUAUAUAUACAUAUAGAGAGAGAACCAAUCCUGUUUGGAUUGGACUUCUGUUUUCCGAGAAAGAACAGGAAAAGGAAAGGAAAACAGAUGAACAUAUUAUUAAUUAAUUAGAAGCCUAGUCCCGUUUAGUUUGGAUUGGAGCCAUAAUUAGAUCAUGAGAGAAGAAAAAAACAUCCACAAUUGCAUUUUGUGUUCCAAUCAUAUCUUUACAAGUGUCCUUACAAAAGAUUUCUUUAAUUGAAAAAUUUUACUUAUACCUAUUUACCAUUAACUCAAAAAAAAACUUAAAAUUUUAAUUACACCGAUUCACCAUUAACUAAAAAAAAAAAAAAAGAAAAGAAGCAAGUCUAGUUAUAGUUCGUCGAUAGACUGACUUGUGGAUCGACUUAACAGCCACCAUCCAAUUUGAUUUUUUUUUUUUUUUUCAAUUUUAUUUAUUUAUUUAUUUAUAAUUAAUUGAUGGCACCUUCUUUGAAGUUUCAUUUUCAAGUAUAUAAAUAGAAGCAUUAGAUUUCAUAUAAUCUCACACAAGUCAUUUCCUCUAUCAAUUGUUGGUCAUGGCGAGGUAUGCAAAUUUUUCUCCUUUUCAUAUUGCAUAUUCUUUUUUCUUCAUUAGUAUUCUAUUUUGCAUAUUAAAUUAUAUUCUUAUAUGUGACUGAUUAAAAUGAAAAAAAAAAUUGACUAAUUAUUGAAAUAAUAUAUAUAUAAAACUUAAUUAAUUAUGGGUUUUUAAUUUGGUGUACAGAUUGAUGAUGAAGGUGCAAGCUAUAAUCAUAGGUUUGAUUGUUGUUGGAUCAAUCUAAGUUGAGGCUAGAAAAGAAAAGUAACUUCAGAAUUUGAAUCAAAUCGUCAAAUGGGAGACUCAAACACAGUUCAUCAUCUUCGAUCAAGCCCACACCAAAUUGCUGUUGAUGGAAACCUCACAUGGAAUCGCUUUAUAAGAAUAUUGAUAGGCAUUGAGAUCCCCGAUCCUCCACCUGCAGGGCAGGGGGGAGUGACCCUCUUACCAAAAAUAUCUUUUAGUAGCAAGUCAUUGAGAUCGAAUAGGAUGUACAAUUCAAUUUCUAUUUUUUUUUAUUGUAAAUAAUUUAAUAUUGGAUUAUCGAAUUCUGUCCGUGUAGCUUUGAAUUUUCUUUUUGAUUUGGAUACCAGUUUAUUUGCUUGUUUUUAUUGGGUAUCUUUCUAUCCCUUGAGAUCUUUUUUUAAUUUCCUAUGUUUCCUUUUAUUUACCAACCUCUAGUUUUUUCACACCUCCCCAAACUGUUUCUAACACUCCCUCUCACCCACGCCCUUUUCUUAAAAGCUCACCUUCUUUACUCCCACCCACCUACCGCCUUAACUCCACAACCCCUGCUUGAUGGAAAAUUUGGAACAAAACGUCUCUAAGCUCAUUACCAAAGCAAAGAAUAUACAGUGCUCAGAGGAUACUCUACAAUUAAUGGAGGAUGAUUCUAAUUCCAAUCUUAGCCACAAGUACAUUCUAGUAGAAUCAUAUCCUAUAAAAUUCUAAAUACUAUAGCAGUUAGGGCGGCUCUAAGCAUGACUUGGUGUACUAGCAAGAUCUACAUGGUUAUCUCCAAAGGGGCAAAUCUAUUUUAAUUUUUUUUUCUCUCAAAGAUAUAGUUCAUUUCGCUCAAAUCUGUUUCAGUUUACCUUUGAGCACGAAGUGGAUUUUAGGUAUGUGUCAACAACAGACAUUGAACAAUCCACAGUCAACACUUGUGCAUCUGAGAAUGGCCCCUAGAUUUAGCAUUCGAAGAUUUAAAUUUUUUAACUUCACUCUUUUGGAUUUAAGCUCGUGAUCUAACUCCAAACCAAGUUAACAAACAAAAUGCAAUGGCGAUUGUGAACCUAGUUGAGGAGUUUGUAGAGGUAGAUCUCACACAGGAUGGGCAAAUUGGAUACCCAAACUUCUUAAGGAUAAGAGUCAAUCUUCAUAUCACCAAGUUCUUAUGCCCAGGCUUUCAUAGCAAGUGUUUGGAUGGGUUUGUUGCAUGGGUAACAAUAAAAUAUGAGAGGAUGCCAGAUAUAUGCUUCAAAUGUGGUAUUGUGGAACAUCUUAACAAGUCUUGCUCACUACAAGAAGCAGAAAAGGGUAGCGAUCUCAAAGCAGGAAGAACCGAUUUGGAUUUUGGAUGAAAGCACAAUCAGUGGGAGAAGGCAGGGUCUCGAAGCCACCGUCAAUAGUGUGAACAUCGAUCUCAUCAUUACCUUCCAUGCAACCACAAAAUCCAUAGACCCCUCAUGGACACAACCAAGGCCAUACUCAAUCACAAUCUUCCCCAACCAAAAAUCAAACACAACACAUGAUGAUGCACUUACUCAAAUCACAAAUGCAAAACCUGCAAAUACUAGAACCAAGUGUACUUUUAUUGACGUCUAACCUUGAACCACCAAAGCAAAUAGCCACAAACCACCGCAUGUUGCAGCUGUCAUGGUGGUCGGAAAAUUCAGAUAGUCCUGUUUCGAAAAGGAACCAAAACAUAGUGACAUCGGAAAACACCUUUUGUUUCCAAUAAAAACUUGGAGACCAAAAUGGAUCUGACAGCAUAUCUGCAAUAAUCUAAUGCCCAGUAAGCCCACUUACUAUCCAAACUAUUGAUUUAGAGCCUUUUUGAAAAUACAUGAAGAAGCAAAAGUACGAGGAAUUUAAUGCUAAUAAACUUUUUGGCAAGUAUCUGUUUCUCCUCAAUCAUUUACUAGUGGUGAUUGAAGUGGCACGUCAGAAGGAAAGUUAUAAUGAAAUAAUGAACUUUAAGGGUACAAGGAACAUAUCUUAAGGGCAAAGCGCAAAAGGAGGGGAAAUAGGAAGCCAAGAUAUGGACCAAAGUUUCAAGAAGCAGGAAGAGGCCCAUUUGAGCUCCAAGUCACACCCACAGACUGGGCCCAAAGAAACUGAUAAAAAAGACCAUACUCUCAUGCAGAAAGCUAGAAAACGGGAGGAAAGGAAGAAAGGCCUAGCCCACAAAUGCAAACCAAUUCAGAUCCCAAAUAAGGGUCUAGGGUCUGAAGAAAUGAUGUCAUUAGACUAUCUGAUUCCUAUGGCUCUUACUAUGUUUUAUUCACAACAACAAGGUUGGGAGGUUGGGUCUAAAAUCGCACAUCAAGGUGGAGAGACUAACAAGAUGAACGAACAACAACAAUUGAACAACUAAGCACUGCUGGAAAAGGCUUGCAAGAUAAAAAAAACUCAUGCUCCUUUAGGAGUAACUCUGGAAGAAAUUAAGCCACAAGAAGAUGAGAAUGGGUUGCCGUGGAAGAGGAAACAAGCUGAAGGAGACAUAUAAGAACAAGAAAAUGUGUCUAGAGACAAAAAUCUCUUUCACUGCAAGGGUGGAGGAAACAAAACCCAAAUAGUUCCAAUCAACCAAAUGAAGAUUUUAACAUGGAAUUGUGAGGGUGUGGGGAACCUUGACAAUCCAUAAUCUUAAAAGGAUGCUAAAGAUCCAUUCUCCAGAUAUUUUGGGGCUCCUGGAAACUAAAAACAGUGCAAUGAAGGUGCAAAAAAUUGUAUAAGGAUGCAAGGAUUUUCAUAAUUUAUUUUGUGUUGACCCUAAAGGUCAAGCUAGGGAGCUUUGUAUUACCUAGAAUGAUGCUUUUGUUAUCAAUGUUAACUCUAGUGAUUCCCACUAUAUUCUUGUUGUUGUUAAUGAUUUACAGAUGGAUGUUGUUUGAGAUUUUAUUUUGGUACAUCUUAGCUCUAAUGAUAAUAUUCGAGAAAGCCAAUACAGUAACCUGGUAUCUUUGAAAUGGUCUUUCCAUCCCGCUCUUUUGAUGACGAGAGAUUUUAAUACAUUCUUGCUACCAUUAGAAAAGUUGGAAGGAGAUUAGCAUUUUCUAUCAAAGAUUCAAGCCUUCAGGAACUUCACUGAGGAUAUGAAACUCUAUAGCCUUCUCAGCAAAUUAUCGAUUUAAGAUACAAUCAAAUUAUAAUGCUAAGACUACAACAAAAGGGACCUUCUACCUGUAAAGGUCGUGAUUCUUGUAGUCAUGCUCUAGAUGGUGUCAAUUAUUGAAAUAAGACUUAUUAGACUAUGUUAGGAAUUUUAACCAAUAACGUUUAGUUAAGACAAAAACUAGAAAAUAAAAUGCUAGAAGCCGAAAUUUUUUAUUGAAUUCUCGAAAAUUGAAAAUUUUCUCAAACAUUAAAAAAAAAUGGUUAUUUAUAAUAGUAAAAACCCUAAUAUGAAAAAUUAUGAAAAAAUUUAAAAAAAUAAUAAAAAUGCAAAAUUAAUCCUCUAAACAAUGAAAUUUUUUACUCAAACUUUGUGAUCAGGCCUACGAUCCUCGCUAUGUUUUUAAAAGUCGUGCGUCUCGAAAUUUCCUUUUCAAAAAGCUAUCACGGGCCUCUAAUGGACGUCGACAGUAGAAGUUAAGUUUGGUCUAAGUCUGCUAUAAACUUCAAGACCAAUUGCUCCGCAUCAUUCUCUUUCACUUGUAAAGAACUCGAUCUCAAGUUGUCAUUAACAGAGUGAUACUAAAAUAGAUUCGCCACGUUAAACGUCUUGAAAAUUUUCAUAUAAUCUGGGAGGUCAAGAACAUAAGAAUUGCUAUUAAUCUUCUAAAUAAUCUGGAAUGGACCAAUUUUCUUUGGAUCAAGCUUUUUCUGUCUUCCAUAACGUUUUUUGCGCAAAUACACCAUUACUUAAUUACCGACAUUGAAAAACUUGAAAUGCAUGUGUUUAUCAGCUGCAACUUUAUACUUGUCAUUAGCUUCCAUAAGGCACUGUUGUACCUGUUUGAAAAUUUCCACAUGUUGAUUUGCCAAAUUGUUUGUUGCAAUACUAUUAUGAAAACCUAUAGGAAGGGUAAUAAAAUUAACUAUAUACGCAGAAAUUUUCCUGUACACAACUACAAAGAGUGACAUUUUUAUAGAACUGUGGACAGAGCUGUUGUAAGCAAAUUCUGCUUAGGCAAGAGCAAGAUCCCAAGCAUUUUUCUUAUCACUGCAGAUGCAACGCAGAAGAUUGCCAAGAGUGCGGUUCAACCUUCAGUUUGGCCAUCAUUUUGGGGAUGGGCAGUACUACUAUAUCGAAGUUCAGUCCUAAAACGCUUCCAUAAAGUCACCCAAAAGUGAACUAGAAGCUUCACAUCUCUGUCAGAGGUAAUGGUCUUAAGAAUGCUAUGUAAACAAACAACCUCCUGGAAAGCCAAUUUUACAAUAUGAGAAAUAUCAUUAGUUUUCUUACAAUGAAUGAAAUGCAUCAUUUUAGAGAAUCUUUCAACAACAACAAAAAUAGAAUCAGAUCCACGUUGAGUAUGUGGAAGGCUAGGAACAAAAUCCAUAAACAAGUCCUCCUAAGGAUAUUUUGAAAUAAGCAAUUGAGUGUAUAAGCCCGUAUUCUGCAAAUUACCCUUCUGAGUUUGACAAACUGGGCACUUCUAAACCAUUCGACAUGUAUCUUUUUUUUUAAAUUGUGGCUAAUAAAAACACUCAUCUAAAUCAGCAAUAGUCUUAUCAUGCCCCAAAUGAUCACUCAAGCCUCCUUCAUGGACCUUUCGAAUCAAUUUUUUCCACAGAGAAAGGUGAGGAAUACAUAACCUAUUCUCCUUAAAAAGAAAGCUAUCAUGUAUCAAAAAUCUAUCAGCAGGCUAGCGAGUUUAGAUCUUCGCCCAUAUAUCAGCAAAAUCAUCAUCUGCAUCAUAUAAAUUCUUCAAAAAUUCAAAAUCCACGAUCUCCUUACUAAUUGUAAUCAAUAAAGCAGCCCUCCUACUCAAAGCGUCUGCUACCUUAUUACUAUGGUCAGCUUUAUAUUUUAUGACAUAAUAAAAAGCUCCAAAAUAAGUUGCCUAUCGAGUAUGCAUAUUAUUCACAUGUUUUUGAGUCUUAAGUGAAUCAAAAAUUGAUAAUUUGUGUGAAUGAUAAACUCCCGCCCUAUCAGAUAUUAUUCCCAAGUUUUAAGGGUCCGGAACACUGCAUAUAAUUCUUGCUCAUAAGUAGACCACUUCUUUUUAGCGUCAUUCAAUUUCUCACUAAAGAAUGCAAUAGGCUUAUUAGACUGCGAUAACACACCGCCAAUGCCAACUCCACAAGCAUCACAUUCAACCUCAAACAGUUUAUCACAAUCAGGUAGAGCAAGAAUAGGGGCAGAAGUAAGCUUAUCUUUAAUCUCCUCAAAGCUCUUGUCGGCAGUGUCAAUCCAAGUAAACUUUUGCACUCUCUCUUUCUUCAAAUAAUCUAUAAUAGGGGCAACAAAGCUGCUAAAAUUUAUGAUAAACCGCUGAUAGAAAGUAUCAAGUCUAUAAAAGUUGCGAACUUAUGAAAUAUUUUUUAGAAUAGACCAGUUCCAUAUUGCUUCUACCUUCUUCUCAUCAACGUGUAUCUCUUCUGCACUAAUAAUAAAUCCAAAAAAUAGAACUCGCUCCGUCAUAUAGAUGCAUUUUUUUCAAAUUAAUAACUAGCUCACUUUCUUACAAGGUUAUCAUGACUUGAUCACUACGACUAAAAAUCAAGAUAUUAUCAAAAUAAACAACCAUGAAUUUGCGUAGGAAAGGAUGCAAAACCUGAUUCAUAAGUCGCACGAACGUGCUAGGUGCAUUCGUCAAACAAAAUGGUAUAACUAACCACUCAUACAAGCCUUCCUUAGUUUUAAAAGUUGUCUUCCAUUUAUUUCUCUCCUUAAUCAAAACUUGAUGGUAGCCACUUUUAAGGUUGAUCUUAGAGAAACUCUAGACCCUGAUAUCAUCUAGUCGAAGAAUAGGAAAUCGAUACUAAACCAUAAUUUUGUUGAUGGCUCUACCAUCCACACACAUUCUCCAAAUUCCUCUCCUGAAUGUGCCCCUUUUUUAAUAACUCUUCAACCUGUUUUUUGACGAUUUCGCUCUUCUUUGGACUCAUUUUGCAAUGAGACAGAUUCGGUAAUUUUGAUCCCAGAAUGAGAUCAAUCCGAUGUUGAUAUCCUGCAAAGGUGGAAGGUUUAAAGUUUCCUCCACUACCCUAGAAAACUCCUUCAACAGCUCUUUGACAAAUGGUGGUAAAAAUAGUGCAUCCUCUACUGUACCUUUUACACUCAUCAAUAAAGUCAGUGUGCCUUCAGAUUUCUCAACUACGCCAGAUAGCUUUGCACCUUUAUAGAAACAGCAACAAUAGUUUUUUCAUCCACUUUAGAAUGUUUCGCAAAAUUAGAAGGCAAAAUAAUAAUCUUCUUUUGAUUCAAUGUAAACAUGUAUAAAUUCUCCUUUCUCUUAUGCAAUGCAUCAACAUCAAACUACCAAGACGACCUAAUAAAAUUUCACAGCAAUCCAUAUCUACAACAUCACAAUUAACAGAUUCAGUCUAAGAUUUACUGAUCGAAAUAGGCACGAUAUAGAUUAUGUUGACUGUAAUUGUCGAACCUUUCUUAAUUCACCCGACUUUGUAUGGGCGAAAGGUGAGGCUGUGUAGGCAACUACAACUUCUUCACCAAUUGCUUAACUAUCAUAUUCUCACAACUACAACUAUCGAUAAUUAGCCUGCAAAUCGCUUCUCCCACUCGAUACUUCAUCUGGAAAAUCUUUCUCCUUUGUGUCUCAUCCUCCUAUUUCGUCGAGCAUAGAAUUUUCUUCAUCACAUAGGUAACCUCUCCAUCUUCAGAACCAACAAUAGAUCCAUCGUCGUCAUCCACUUCCUCCUCAGAUCCAACCACCUACUCAGCUACAUUAAUCUAUCGCGAGCAUUAUUAAGUUUUCUGUGUUCUAGACAAUUAUUCGAUCGAUGACUAGGUUGCAUGUAGUGAGAACAUAGGUCUCUGGUUGGUUUCUAAUAAGGAUUGGUUUGCUUUCUUUGUCUGCUGUAUUGAUGACUGCUGUAUUAAUGACAGCUUUUCCCUUACUAUCUCUCCUUUCUUUUACAGUAUUUUGAGGAUUGCCAGAAUUUAUAACCCUAGAAGACUGUCCGCUGUAAUUACCUCUAUACUGUUGAAUUCCUAUCGAACCAGAAUUUCUGUAAUUAAAAUUUGGCUUACAUUGAUGUCGAGGCUGCCAAUCAACACGUUCUUCUGCUCUUUUUGUCGUCUCAAUGGCAUCUACCAAGGUGAAAAUUGCAGCUACUCCCAUCAUACAGUGAAUUUCGUGAUUCAGUCCCCUCUGAUAAUGAGAAACCUGCUGGACUUCAUUCUCACAGUUUUCGCACCUCGCCUGCAACCUCAAAAACUCCUUUGUAUAUUCAUUCACCCUUCGACUCACUUGAAUAUAAUCAUGAUACCAGUUAUACAUAACCUAAGCGUGAUCACUAGGCAAAAAUCGUUGUUCAAUCAUCUGCUUCAUCAACAACCAGUUUCGUAUAGGUUCCAGCCUCCUGAAAUAGCUUUCGUUUUGAACAGAAUUCCACCAUAUUGUUGCAUCACACUUUAAUUUAUAAGGCACAAUCAGAACCUUUCAAUCCUCUUCCACGUUCAUAAUUUCAAAAAAUCGAUCAACCUCCGCUAACCAAUUAAGGACAGAUUGUACAUCCAGAAAAAGUUUUGAAGGUCUAUCUUUUUUUUGUAAUCUUCGUGAUAAUCCUAUUCGAAAUUUACAACCAUAGGAUUUGUGACCACAUGAUUUAGAACUGACUGUGGGCGUUCGGCUGCGGUGGGUUGGUUGUUAUCCCGUUAUAGGGCUAGCUAUUCGAUCAUCUCUCUCAAUUCUGCUAAGGAUGCCUCAAUUACAGCGAGUCGCGCCUCUUGGUUGUCGGUCAUGGAUGAACUUCGCUCUAAUACCAACUGAAAUAGGACUGAUUAAACUCCUUCAGGAGUUUUAACCAAUAAUGUUUGAGUAAAAUGAAAUUUAGAAUACGAAAGACUAAAAGCCAAAAUUUCUUAUUGAAUUAUUAAAAAUUGAAAGUCCCUCAAAAUAGCUAAGAAAAUUACUCUUUAUAAUAGCAAAAACUCUAAUAUAAAAAAAUAUGAAAAAAUUUUAAAAAAUAAUAAAAAUAUAAAAUUGAUCCCUAAAGAAUGAAAUUUUUACCUCGAAUUUUAUAAUCAAGUCUACCGCUCUUGUCACACUUUUAAAAAUCGUGCAUCUUAAAAUUUUCUUUUCGAAAAGUUAUCGUGAGUUUCCAACAAACGUUGGUAGCAUAAAUUAAAUUCGGUCUAAAUUUGCUAUAAAAUUCAAAAUUAAUUGCUUCACAUCAGUUGCACCUAUCAUCAUAGUUAAUUAUGCGAGAAAUUAUUAAACAUAAUUAUGUAUAUACAUCUAGUCAAUAAAUAAAUAAUAAAUAAAGUAUAAUUAUAAUAAAUUUUACAUUUAAUUAAAUUUUAUUAUAUAGGUAUACUUACAUAGAAUGUGCAUAAGAAAUUUUUUAAUUAUAUAGUGAAGAGAAACGGUGUAAGAUUAAAAUAAUAGUAUAUAUAAAAAUAUAUAUAUUAUUGGGAUGGAAUUUUUUUUAUUAAAUUUGCUUUGUUGUGAUAUUCAUAAAUAAAUGUGAAUAUUCUUUUCAUUAUAUAAAUUUUACAUUUAAUUAUGUAACUUGAACUCACAGUGGAGUAUUGAUAAAUUUAUUUAAUUAACACAUUGUGUUCUUACAAAUAAAUAUUGAAUAAUCUAUAUAAUUUUUUGAAUUUUCCGAUUCAUUAUGAAAAUUAUUGAAGUUGCCAAGGUGCUCGGAAAAUGCGACCGGGCGUUGGUGGGCUUGACUUGGACCAACAAGUCUUUUGCUCCCAAAAAGUCUAUAGGCAAGACUUGAUGCGUGUUUAAUUUAAAAAAAAAAAAAAAACUAGACUAGCAUUAGGAAAGCUGAGGACAUUACCAUGGACGACACUUUCUCCUGCCAUAGAUGGAGAAGGAACUCCAUGAUGGAUAUUAACUGCUGGUUACAGUAGAGCAUUAUAUUUACUUUUAACACAUUGUGUUUAUUAUAAAAACUAAUUUUAUAUAUAAAAAAAUAUUAAUUAAUAUUUAAUUAUAGUAACUGAUAUAUUUAAUUUUAAAAUUAAUUAUAAAAAUUUAUAACAAAUAAAUUGUUCUUAAUUAUCUUAUAUAUAUUACUAUUUUGAAUUAAAUAAUAUAUAACUGUUGUAAAAUAUUUAUUAUUAUUAUCGUAUGAAUUAUGUAUUUAAUAAUUUGAUUAUUUAUUUUUAAUUUUAAUUUUAAAAAUUAAUGAAAAUUAUAUUUUAAUGCACACGUUGAUUUAAUUUAUUCAAAAUUUAAAUAACGCAAACGAUUGAAUUUUUUUCGACCAAUUGGAUAAAUGCAUCUUAAAACGAUGACAAGGACAGAAAGGACUCUUAAGCAUUAAACCGACACACUGAACCAUGAAACAUGCAACUCAAUAGCGACCCAACUCGGAGUUUCUCCAUUCAGAUCUGCUUUCCCUUUUAUUAGCUUUUAAUCUCUUCUUCUCCAACCCUUCGAUUUAUAACCUCGCUGCUGCAACGAAACGGCCAUUAAGUUGCUCAACAGAAUCUCUAUCUUCUUCUUCUUCUUCUUCUUCUUCUUCUUCUUCAAUAUCAUAUUGGGUAAUAAUACGAAUCUCUACGUUCAUGACCCAUUUCUUCUUAAUCCUGGAAAUCUCUGCCAAAACAUCCAUAGCGUUGCAUAUUAUCUUGGAGAUGACAAAGCUUCUGAGCUUGGGAUGUAUGUCUAUGGAACAAGGCAACAAGGUUGAGAUUAUUUCAGAAAUAUCAUCGCAGAGAAAUUGUUCUUCAGUGAGCUCUACAGUGUUACCCAUGAUUUGAGUUCGUAUUUCGAGUUGGCUGCCCCAUACUUGACAGUGUGUGGAGCUUGGAAGAAUUCUGAUGUGGAGAACUGGUGGACAAUUCUCUUCAAGAUCAAACUUUUUGUAUCUCAAGUUUACUUGCAGUUUUGCUGUGGAAGCCAUGAUUAUGAUGAUAGUUUUGCUAAUGAUUUGAUCGAACAAGGGAAUAUAGAAUUUGUUGGAGUGUUAUGAUAUAUAGAUAUAUAUAUACAUAUAAAGAGAGAGAACAAAUCCUGUUUGGAUUGGACUUCUGUUUUCCGAGAAAGAACAGGAAAAGGAAAGGAAAACACACAAACAUAUUAUUAAUUAAUUAGAAGCCUAUUCCUGUUUAGUUUGGAUUGGAGCCAUAAUUAGAUUAUGAGAG
rnacentral:lncRNA from 1 species